rnacentral:rRNA from 1 species
UGGGGAAUAUUGCACAAUGGGCGCAAGCCUGAUGCAGCGACGCCGCGUGAGGGAUGACGGCCUUCGGGUUGUAAACCUCUUUCAGUACCGACGAAGCGUAAGUGACGGUAGGUACAGAAGAAGCACCGGCCAACUACGUGCCAGCAGCCGCGGUAAUACGUAGGGUGCGAGCGUUGUCCGGAAUUACUGGGCGUAAAGAGCUCGUAGGUGAUUUGUCGCGUUGUUCGUGAAAACCUGAGGCUUAACCUUGGGCGUGCGGGCGAUACGGGCAGACUGGAGUACUGCAGAGGAGACUGAAAUUCCUGGUGUAGCGGUGGAAUGCGCAGAUAUCAGGAGGAACACCGGUGGCGAAGGCGGGUCUCUGGGCAGUAACUGACGCUGAGAGGCGAAAGCGUGGGGAGCGAACAGG